rnacentral:rRNA from 1 species
UACGUAGGGGGCAAGCGUUGUCCGGAUUUAUUGGGCGUAAAGAGCGUGUAGGCGGCCAGGUAGGUCCGUUGUGAAAACUGGAGGCUUAACCUCCAGCUGUCGAUGGAAACCAGCUGGCUAGAGUCCGGAAGAGGAGAGUGGAAUUCCUGGUGUAGCGGUGAAAUGCGCAGAUAUCAGGAAGAACACCCGUGGCGAAGGCGGCUCUCUGGGACGGUACUGACGCUGAGACGCGAAAGCGUGGGGAGCAAACAGG